rnacentral:rRNA from 1 species
GUCCACGCCGUAAACGAUGGAUGCUAGUCGUCGCGGGUAUUGACCCCUGCGGCAACGCAGUUAACGCAUUAAGCAUCCCGCCUGGGGAGUACGGCCGCAAGGCUAAAACUCAAAGGAAUUGACGGGGCCCGCACAAGCGGUGGAGCAUGUGGUUCAAUUCGACGCAACGCGCAGAACCUUACCUGGGUUAAAUCCACCGGAACCCCGCAGAGAUGUGGGAGUGCCCGCAAGGGAGCCGGUGAGAAGGUGCUGCAUGGCUGUCGU